rnacentral:rRNA from 1 species
UGAGCGGCAAAAGCUCAUAUUUGAAUCUGGCGCCUUCGGAAGAAGCAGGGAGUAAUUUGAAGAAGGCGACUUUGGGGCUGGUUCCGUCUAUGUUCCUUGGAACAGGACGUCAUAGAGGGUGAGAAUCCCGUGUGGCGAGGAUCCCCGGUUCUUUGUAAGUGCUUUCCAAAAAUCGAGUUGUUUGGGAA